UAGCAAUCUAUGUCUCUUUACCCCCACCUUGACUCACCAGAUGGCUUCCUAAGUAUUGACAUUGAUGUGAUAAAUUCUUUGAAAGAAGUUUCAUGACCAUGAAAAGUGAAAAGAGAAAUGGUAACUUAUCAGGAAGAAAGGAAGCAGAUGGAAUUGAGGCCAAAGAUCUAAACACCUGCUCCUGACACUC
ensembl:misc_RNA